CGUCCUUCUUCAUCCUCUACAAGACAAUAUUGCUCACCUUUUGCCCAGCAAUCUGGGCACUGAAUUGGUGGUCAAAUUCCAGUCAAAUUGCAAGUUUCUUGCUGCCACUCACCUGGAGCAGCACUCUCUGCUCUACUGAGGUGUAUCAAAAUCAUCUGCAGGUGAUUCUGGGUCCCAUGCACAAAGUGUCUGAUUCUAACAAGUUCUCCAGUAAUGCUGAUUCUGCUGGUCUGAGACUACACAUGAAGACUCACGGCAGUAGAAGAACAUAUGUCCUUUUCUCUGAUUGGUAAGACCCUUGAGUCAAAGAAGACAGUAGUGAAAGUGAAGAGUACCUUUUUAUUUUUUUCUGGGCAGGCUUUAUAGAAUGAAGCCAAACUUAAGCAGAUUUUCUCUGGGUAGAAGAAAUUUAAAACUUCUAGCAUAAAUUCAUCUGUUGGCUUUGGCUUUUAGUAGUCGUCAUUAUGGAUAUUUCAGUGAGAAAUUACAGUUUAAGGGCUGCUAGCUAGACACUGUUUUAAACCAGAAGUUUGUAAAUAUCAUUUUUAGAAAUAACAAUAUUCCUUCAGAUGAAUAUUCUAUAAUUGCUCCAUCAUUCUCCUAAUGUUAUGUACUCUUAGGCUAUUAUCAGUUUUUCAGUAUUAAUAGAUGGAGUCACAUUAAACACCUUUGUAAAUGAGGUCAUUUCUGCAUUUUUAGAUUGUUUCCUCAGAUAGAUUAUGAAAAAAAAUUAUAUAACUGCUCUCAUGGAUAAAGAUACAAAUUGCCAAAUUGUUUCCUCAAAAGGGUAUCAUAGCAAUCAAAAAUAGGAUAUUCUCACAGAGGGAAAAACAAUAUUUUGCUAAUUUAAUAUAGAAUAAAGAGUAGUAUCUCAUUAUUAUUUUGGUUUGCUUUUUCUUACAUUUUUCUUGUCAAGGAAUAUGCCUCCUGCCACUGCACAUGAUGAAACUUUUCCUAGAAGCAGGCACACACCCAAACUAGGAUAACAAAAGAGGUCUUUGAUAAUAAAAUUUUAGGAGAAAAAGAGGCCAGAUUUUCUUUCAUCAUAAUAAUAUACAGAA
rnacentral:lncRNA from 10 species